rnacentral:misc_RNA from 1 species
GGGGAAUUUUCCGCAAUGGGCGAAAGCCUGACGGAGCAAUACCGCGUGAGGGAGGAAGGCUCUUGGGUUGUAAACCUCUUUUCUCAGGGAAGAAAAAAAUGACGGUACCUGAGGAAUAAGCAUCGGCUAACUCCGUGCCAGCAGCCGCGGUAAUACGGAGGAUGCAAGCGUUAUCCGGAAUGAUUGGGCGUAAAGCGUCCGCAGGUGGCUGUGUAAGUCUGCUGUUAAAGAGUCAUGCUCAACAUGAUAAAGGCAGUGGAAACUACACGGCUAGAGUGCGUUCGGGGCAGAGGGAAUUCCUGGUGUAGCGGUGAAAUGCGUAGAUAUCAGGAAGAACACCGGUGGCGAAAGCGCUCUGCUAGGCCGCAACUGACACUGAGGGACGAAAGCUAGGGGAGCGAAUGGGAUUAGAUACCCCAGUAGUCCUAGCCGUAAACGAUGGAUACUAGGCGUGGCUUGUAUCGACCCGAGCCGUGCCGUAGCUAACGCGUUAAGUAUCCCGCCUGNGGAGUACGCACGCAAGUGUGAAACUCAAAGGAAUUGACGGGGGCCCGCACAAGCGGUGGAGUAUGUGGUUUAAUUCGAUGCAACGCGAAGAACCUUACCAAGACUUGACAUGUCGCGAACUUUUCUGAAAGGGAGAGGUGCCUUCGGGAGCGCGAACACAGGUGGUGCAUGGCUGUCGUCAGCUCGUGUCGUGAGAUGUUGGGUUAAGUCCCGCAACGAGCGCAACCCUCGUUUUUAGUUGCCAGCAUUAAGUUGGGCACUCUAGAGAGACUGCCGGUGACAAACCGGAGGAAGGUGGGGAUGACGUCAAGUCAGCAUGCCCCUUACGUCUUGGGCUACACACGUACUACAAUGCUUUGGACAGAGGGCAGCAAGCUAGCGAUAGCAAGCAAAUCCCGUAAACCAAAGCUCAGUUCAGAUCGCAGGCUGCAACUCGCCUGCGUGAAGGAGGAAUCGCUAGUAAUUGCAGGUCAGCAUACUGCAGUGAAUUCGUUCCCGGGCCUUGUACACACCGCCCGUCACACCAUGGAAGCUGGCAACGCCCGAAGUCAUUACUCCAACCUUUCGAGGAGGAGGAUGCCUAAGGCAGUGCUGGUGACUGGGGUGAAGUCGUAACAAGGUAGCCGUACCGGAAGGUGUGGCUGGAUCACCUCCUUUUAGGGAGACCUACCCAACUUUGAAAUCGAAAGCAGACAGUAAAUAGAUACAAAGAUGGUCAUUCCUAGGUCGGUCGCAACAAUUUGUGGUGAGCUUUCAAACUAUGAUUGGUUCGAUUUGGGCUAUUAGCUCAGGUGGUUAGAGCGCACCCCUGAUAAGGGUGAGGUCCCUGGUUCGAGUCCAGGAUGGCCCACCUGAAAGUAAUUAGUAAUUCGUAAUGCGUAAUUCGUAAUUAAUUACGAACUACGAAUUAGAAAUUGCGAAUUAUUUAGGGGGGUUUAGCUCAGUUGGUAGAGCGCCUGCUUUGCAAGCAGGAUGUCAGCGGUUCGAGUCCGCUAACCUCCACCUAAUGUGGAAAGCCAAAAAAAAGAAUGAGAAAUCAGCAAUAUGACUUGAAAGUCAGACUGCUGAGUGAACCUCAGCCAGAACCUUGAAAACUGCAUAGUAACGCGAAAAAAGCAGGCAGACACAGACACCGAAAAAAUGUCAGUGUUUGCAGUUGGACACCAAAUGUAAUGUGAUCAAGCUAAUAAGGGCUUACGGUGGAUACCUAGGCACACAGAG